UACGUAGGGGGCUAGCGUUGUCCGGAUUUAUUGGGCGUAAAGAGCGCGUAGGCGGCCGUGUAAGUCCGACGUGAAAUCUGGAGGCUCAACCUCCAGCGGUCGUUGGAAACUACCCGGCUAGAGUCCGGAAGAGGAGAGUGGAAUUCCUGGUGUAGCGGUGAAAUGCGCAGAUAUCAGGAAGAACACCGAUGGCGAAAGCAGCUCUCUGGGACGGUACUGACGCUGAGGCGCGAAAGCCAGGGGAGCAAACGGG
rnacentral:rRNA from 1 species